rnacentral:rRNA from 1 species
GAUGAACGCUGGCGGUAUGCCUUAUACAUGCCAGUCGUACGAGAGUUUUUAACUCUAGUGGCGGACGGGUGAGUAACACGUAAGAAUUUGCCUUUAGGAGGGGGACAACAACUGGAAACGGUUGCUAAUACCCCAUAUGCUUUCGAGUGAAAUGGAUUUCCGCCUAAAGAGAAGCUUGCGGCUGAUUAGCUUGUUGGUAGGGUAAUGGCCUACCAAGGCGACGAUCAGUAUCUGGUUUGAGAGGACGAUCAGACACACUGGAACUGAGACACGGUCCAGACUCCUACGGGAGGCAGCAGUAGGGAAUUUUCCGCAAUGGGCGAAAGCCUGACGGAGCAAUACCGCGUGAGGGAUGACUGCCUAUGGGUUGUAAACCUCUUUUUUCAGGGAGGAAUAAAUGACGUGUACCUGAAGAAUAAGCAUCGGCUAACUCCGUGCCAGCAGCCGCGGUAAGACGGAGGAUGCAAGUGUUAUCCGGAAUCACUGGGCGUAAAGCGUCUGUAGGUGGCUCGACAAGUCAACUGUUAAAUCUUGAAGCUCAACUUCGAAAUCGCAGUCGAAACUAUCGAACUAGAGUAUAGUAGAGGUAAAGGGAAUUUCCAGUGGAGCGGUGAAAUGCGUAGAGAUUGGAAAGAACACCGAUGGCGAAGGCACUUUACUGGGCUAUUACUGACACUCAGAGACGAAAGCUAGGGUAGCAAAUGGGAUUUAGAUACCCCAGUAGUCCCUAGCCGUAAACAAUGGAUACUAGGUGUUGAACAGAUCGACCUGUGCAGUACCAAAGCUAACGCGUUAAGUAUCCCCGCCCUGGGAAGUAUGCACGCCAGUGUGAAACUCAAGGGAAUUGACGGGGGCCCG